UACGUAGGGGGCUAGCGUUGUCCGGAAUUAUUGGGCGUAAAGAGCUCGUAGGCGGUUUGUCGCGUCUGCCGUGAAAGUCCGGGGCUCAACUCCGGAUCUGCGGUGGGUACGGGCAGACUAGAGUGCGGUAGGGGAGACUGGAAUUCCUGGUGUAGCGGUGAAAUGCGCAGAUAUCAGGAGGAACACCGGUGGCGAAGGCGGUUCUCUGGGCAUUACCUGACGCUGAGGAGCGAAAGUGUGGGGAGCGAACAGG
rnacentral:rRNA from 1 species